GUGAGGAAUUUUCCGCAAUGGGCGAAAGCCUGACGGAGCAAUGCCGCGUGAAGGAUGAAGGCCUAUGGGUUGUAAACUUCUUUUCUCAGAAAAGAAUUAUGACGGUAUCUGAGGAAUAAGCAUCGGCUAACUCUGUGCCAGCAGCCGCGGUAAGACAGAGGAUGCAAGCGUUAUCCGGAAUGAUUGGGCGUAAAGCGUCUGUAGGUUGUUUAAAAAGUAUUCUGUCAAAGAUUAGGGCUUAACCCUAGAUAGGCAGAAUAAACUUUUAAGCUAGAGUUUGGUAGAGGCAGAGGGAAUUCCCGGUGGAGCGGUGAAAUGCGUAGAUAACGGGAGGAACACCAAAGGCGAAGGCACUCUGCUGGGCCAAUACUAACACUGAGAGACGAAAGCGAGGGGAGCAAAUGGGAUUAGAUACCCUGGUAGUCC
rnacentral:rRNA from 1 species